CUGUAUACUCCAAUACACCAUGGAUGGGUACAAGCACAGUGUACCCCAAUACACCAUGUAUGGGUACAUGCACUGUAUACCCCAAUACACCAUGGAUGGGUACAUGCACUGUAUACUCCAAUACACCAUGGAUGGGUACAAGCACAGUGUACCCCAAUACACCAUGGAUGGGUACAUGCACAGUAUACCCCAAUACACCAUGGAUGGGUACAUGCACUGUAUACUCCAAUACACCAUGUAUGGGUACAUGCACUGUAUACCCCAAUACACCAUGGAUGGGUACAUGCACUGUAUACUCCAAUACACCAUGGAUGGGUACAAGCACAGUGUACCCCAAUACACCAUGGAUGGGUACAUGCACAGUGUACCCCAAUACACCAUGGAUGGGUACAUGCACAGUGUACCCCAAUACACCAUGGAUGGGUACAUACACAGUAUACCCCAAUACACCAUGGAUGUGUACAUUCACUGUAUACCCCAAUACACCAUGGAUGGGUACAUGCACUGUAUACUCCAAUACACCAUGGAUGGGUACAAGCACAGUGUACCCCAAUACACCAUGGAUGGUUACAUGCACAGUAUACCCCAAUACACCAUGG